AAAUAACUGCUAAUAUUAUGCAACAAAAGUAAGUAGUUAUUGCUAUCUACAAGGCAGAUGGAUUUUUUUUCCCUUUAUACCCUUUUCGACAAAUGCAAGGAGUGUUUCUCCAAUUGCCGAGGGUCAAGUCCUGGUGGAAAGCUGUGAUGAAUGGGCGAUUAUCAUCCUCCUCCUCUUAAAUAAUGACCAUGACAUCUGGACAGUCAUCAUCUAGGAUGUCCCUAUUCAUACCCUCUGCAUGUAUUAGGACUCACAUAUUUGACAAAUAUCUCUUUAUGUCUUGUUUUCGCCUUUGAUUCCUUUCCUCAAUGUCUGGGUCUGGAAUCAAGACUUCUUUCUCGUAAACCAGUCUUGGUUUAAAAAAUAGCAUACUCGCCACGGAGACAGGAAUUUUCCUGAGAAUGUACAAAAUUUGCAUCUGUAGGUUUAGGCAGUAGCCUUGUAGACGAAGGAACCAAUAUAUGCUUGUGCGGGUUCCUGUUACUUGACCUAGAGGAGUAGCCUAGUUCGGCCUUCCCUGUUUGUCUGGGAACUUGAAUUAAGCAUUUGAUUCCUUGUUGAUUCUUUCCUAGCCCUUGUCCUAGUUGGAAACCCAAGGAUAUCAUUUAUUGACUGGCCGACAUUACCUCGGCGGAAACUCUGGGUUUCAGAGCUGGAGCUCCAAUGGGUUGAUAGUGAGUGUUGCUCACCUCAAGGGCUUGGAAGCUAACAUGCUCAACUUCUUCAUUUAAACUGAUUAGAGUUAUAUCACUUUGGACAUGAUACUCUAGUUUACCGUUGACGGUGACCAGAUUAUUGUUGAUGAUAUACUUGAGUUGUUGAUGAAGAGUGGAUGGGACGGCUCCUGCCAUAUGGAUCCAAGGUCUUCCCAACAGUAAAUUAUAUCCUGUAGUGAUUUUGAGCACUUGAAAGGAUUUGUAGAAUGUAUAUGGACCGAUUUCUACUAGUAAUUCAAUCUUUCCGACAACAUUUCCCCGAGAGCCAUCAAAGGCUUUGAUGAUUGUACGACUACUUCAGAUCCGGUUAAGAUUGAUCUUUAUUCUUUCCAGUGUGGCAUAGGGCAGAUGUUUAAGGAUGAUCUUGAAUCUAUUAGCACUUCUCCAACCACAUAUCUGGAAGACAUCACUGUUAUGUGUAGUGGCUUGCAAUGACCCGUCCCUUCGGGAGGUAUGUCAUCAUCAGUAAAAGAUAUCACAUUGCUGUUGAAGAUGUGAUCUACCAGAUGAUGAAACUUCUUUUUACAUCCAC
rnacentral:lncRNA from 1 species